rnacentral:rRNA from 1 species
UACGUAGGGUGCAAGCGUUAAUCGGAAUUACUGGGCGUAAAGCGUGCGCAGGCGGUCUUGUAAGUCUGUCGUGAAAUCCCCGAGCUCAACUCGGAAAUGGCAUUGGAAACUACCUUGCUCGAGGGUUGGAGGGGGGACUGGAAUACUUGGUGUAGCAGUGAAAUGCGUAGAUAUCAAGUGGAACACCAGUGGCGAAGGCGAGUCCCUGGACAACUCCUGACACUGAGGCACGAAAGCUAGGGGAGCAAACAGG